GGGGAAUCUUAGACAAUGGGCGCAAGCCUGAUCUAGCCAUGCCGCGUGGACGAUGAAGGCCUUAGGGUUGUAAAGUCCUUUCAGCUGGGAAGAUAAUGACGGUACCAGCAGAAGAAGCCCCGGCUAACUCCGUGCCAGCAGCCGCGGUAAUACGGAGGGGGCUAGCGUUGUUCGGAAUUACUGGGCGUAAAGCGCGCGUAGGCGGACCAGAAAGUUGGGGGUGAAAUCCCGGGGCUCAACCUCGGAACUGCCUUCAAAACUCUUGGUCUGGAGUUCGAGAGAGGUGAGUGGAAUUCCGAGUGUAGAGGUGAAAUUCGUAGAUAUUCGGAGGAACACCAGUGGCGAAGGCGGCUCACUGGCUCGAUACUGACGCUGAGGUGCGAAAGCGUGGGGAGCAAAC
rnacentral:rRNA from 1 species